rnacentral:rRNA from 1 species
AUUGAACGCUGGCGGCAUGCCCUACACAUGCAAGUCGAACGGCAGCACGGGGGCAACCCUGGUGGCGAGUGGCGAACGGGUGAGUAAUGCAUCGGAACGUGCCCAGUAGUGGGGGACAACCAGUCGAAAGAUUGGCUAAUACCGCAUACGACCUAUGGGUGAAAGCGGGGGACCGUAAGGCCUCGCGCUAUUGGAGCGGCCGGUGUCUGAUUAGCUAGUUGGUGAGGUAAAGGCUCACCAAGGCGACGAUCAGUAGCUGGUCUGAGAGGACGACCAGCCACACUGGGACUGAGACACGGCCCAGACUCCUACGGGAGGCAGCAGUGGGGAAUUUUGGACAAUGGGCGCAAGCCUGAUCCAGCCAUGCCGCGUGCGGGAAGAAGGCCUUCGGGUUGUAAACCGCUUUUGGCAGGAACGAAACGGCGCGGGCUAAUACCCAGCGUUAAUGACGGUACCUGCAGAAUAAGCACCGGCUAACUACGUGCCAGCAGCCGCCGUAACAC